GACAGAGGGUGCAAACGUUGUUCGGAAUUACUGGGCGUAAAGCGCGUGUAGGCGGCCAUCUAAGUCGGGCGUGAAAUCCCACGGCUCAACCGUGGAAGUGCACUCGAAACUGGAUGGCUAGAGUCCUGGAGAGGAAGGUGGAAUGCUUGGUGUAGAGGUGAAAUUCGUAGAUAUCAAGCGGAACACCGGUGGCGAAGGCGGCUCACUGGCCCGGUACUGACGCUCAUGUGCGAAAGCGUGGGGAGCAAACAGG
rnacentral:rRNA from 1 species